CUCCACCUUCAGUGAAAAUUCCUUUUGUUUUCAUCUUGUGUGCUUUGUGAUAUUUUACUCUUCCAGAAAUCUUCAACCCAAGCUCUGAUACCAAUUGUUGUGCCAGCGGAAGCUUUGAUGCCAACGAUGUUAGUUCAAGAACACAAAGAUAAAAACAAUCACACAUACGGUACACGAGGUUUUAACGUGGUUCGGCCAACCAUGCCUACGUCCACGGAUGAGAGAGAAUAAUUCCACUACACAAUAGAGAAUAUUACAGAGGAUAGAACCAGAUACAACUAUUGGGUUCCCGAAACAUCCCAUGUUUCCCCACUCCUUGUAUCCAUACCUUACUACGAGCCUUCUCGCUCCACCAGGUACCUCCCGUUCUUCCUCACAUCUCUAUCCACCUCGUAUAGUCUCUAUAGGUCCAUCUCCAUCUCAUAACUUUUUCCCCUCAUGACCUAGAAUAUUUAUAGAGAUAUUUCCAACAACCUUCCUUAUUCUAUAAGGAAGUCUAAUAUUACAAUAAUAUAUCAACCUAGAAAUAUUCUAUAUAAUAUUCUUUACAAAGAAAGGAAUCUAUACUAAUUAGGAAUUUGGAACACUUCCUAACAAUCUCCACCUUGGACCAAAUUACAUGAAGUUAAUCUUCAAUCUCUCCAUGACACAAAUCUUUUUGUAUCAUAUCACCACGAAAUAGCAAUCAACUCCACCUUCAGUGAAAAUUCCUUUUGUUUUCAUCUUGUGUGCUUUGUGAUCUUUUACUCUUCCAGAAAUCUUCAACCCAAGCUCUGAUACCAAUUGUUGUGCCAGCGGAAGCUUUGAUGCCAACAAUGUUAGUUCAAGAACACAAAGAUAAAACAAUCACACAUACGGUACACGAGGUUUUAACGUGGUUCGGCCAACCAUGCCUACAUCCACGGAUGAGAGAGAAUAAUUCCACUAUACAAUAGAGACUAUUACAGAGGAUAGAACCAGAUACAAUUAUUGGGUUCUCGAAACAUCCCAUGUUUCCCCACUCCUUGUAUCCAUACCUUACUACGAGCCCUCUCGCUCCACCAG
rnacentral:lncRNA from 1 species